rnacentral:tRNA from 1 species
GGGAUAGUAGCUCAGCUGGUAGAGCAACGCCCUUUUAAGGCGGAGGUCCAGGGUUCGAACCCCUGCUAUCCUA